UCCCAGACUCCUACGGGAGGCAGCAGUGGGGAAUAUUGGGCAAUGGACGCAAGUCUGACCCAGCAACGCCGCGUGAAGGAAGAAGGCUUUCGGGUUGUAAACUUCUUUUAAGGGGGAAGAGCAGAAGACGGUACCCCUUGAAUAAGCCACGGCUAACUACGUGCCAGCAGCCGCGGUAAUACGUAGGUGGCAAGCGUUGUCCGGAUUUAUUGGGUUUAAAAGGUGCGUAGGCGGAAUGCCAAGUCAGCGGUAAAAUCGCGGGGCUCAACCUCGCUCCGCCGUUGAAACUGGCGUUCUUGAGUGGGCGAGAAGUAUGCGGAAUGCGUGGUGUAGCAGUGAAAUGCAUAGAUAUCACGCAGAACUCCGAUUGCGAAGGCAGCAUACCGGCGCCCAACUGACGCUGAAGCACGAAAGCGUGGGUAUCGAACAGGAUUAGAUACCCCGGUACA
rnacentral:rRNA from 1 species